UUAACUAUUAUAUAGUACUCAGACGACACUGACAAUUGGGGUUUGGGGUCCUCUGGCGGGCGCGGACCGGCCGGGGCCGGGGCCUCGCGGCGGCCCGCCAAAGCAACACGGUAGUAUAAACACAGGGUGGGAGGUCUACCCGUCAGGGCAUGAACUCUGUAAUGAUCCUUCCGCAGGUUCACCUACGGAAA
rnacentral:misc_RNA from 1 species